rnacentral:rRNA from 1 species
ACGCUCGACACCUACGGGAGGCAGCAGUGGGGAAUAUUGCACAAUGGAGGAAACUCUGAUGCAGCGAUGCCGCGUGAGGGAAGAAGGUUUUUCGGAUUGUAAACCUCUGUCUUUGGGGACGAUAAUGACGGUACCCAAGGAGGAAGCUCCGGCUAACUACGUGCUAGCAGCCGCGGUAAUCUGAGCGGGCUGGCAAGGC